UUAAAACCAAAUAUCAAUACUUUUGUCACCCCUUAUAGGAUCAACAUAAUGGCGUAGGGGGAGACGCUGAUGAACACCGAUGAAUAUUCAUCGUGUUCAUCAGGUUGUUUUUCAGAAGUUCACUGAAAAGCCUCAAAUCCGAAAAAACAAUAAAUCAAUCCCAUCUAAAAUCACUCCCUGAACACGUUUCUAACCAUAGAUUAAACAAACAAUAAUUUCGUAGAUCACACACCGUUCCCAAAUUGAACUCUAAUUUUGAAAACCUCAGAUCAAUGAUUAAAAAUUCUAAAGUCACGCAAUUAAGUACAUAUAAGACAAGAAGCAACAAGAAAAAAUGAGGAAAAUGCAAGAAUUAAGGAGAUGAGGGAUUCGCCAGAGCUUUUUAACUCCAGCAAGGGUUUUCGGACAAUCGUAAGGAUGAUGCACAAUCAUGAGGGAUAAAUAGGGUGAUGACAUGAUAAUGCCAUAAGUUAAAUGGGAUGGCAUGAUGAAGCAGGAAAAACAUGCACAUGAUAUGUUGAUGAUGAAUGAUGGAGUUGAAGUCAUGCUGGAAGCGUGAGGCUCAAAACAAAUAAGCAUUUUUUAUGUUUUUAUUUACAUUUUAUGUAUGUGCUGUACCCUAAAAUUUAUCCUCUCCUUUUUACUUUUCA